GGAAAUAAAAAUAAAUCAUUCUCCCCGGAGAGAGAGAAAGACAGCUGUCUCAACGAGCCGCAGUAAGAGCCAGAAUGUGCCAGAAGAGAGGUUGCAGGAAGGUUGCAGAAGGACCCUUCUGAGCCAGCCCUGAUGGGGGAGCCGUUCAGUGAUGCCAGUGAGCCCUCUGCUGCUUUCAAGGCAGCUGAGUCAGAUGAGCUGCACACAAGGCUAAAAUCACUGCUACCCCCGCACGGAGGCGAGGAGAAGGGAAUCCAUUAUCCACACGGAGGAAGCCAGCCACUGUAAUCUGUGCCAUCAUGUGAAUAAGUAAUUGGAUGUUAGUGCUGUUUGAUAGCUGUUAAAUCUUCGAUGGGAAGGUCCAGGCCGAGUAUCAAAGCUGGAGCUGAGAAAUCAAAUAUCAAAAUACCUAUAUUUGCAGUUCCCUGAAAUCUCCUUUUAUAUGCUUUGGAGAAAAUGAGAUGCUGUGUUACAGUGUUCUGGAGUGAAUUCCAGCCCUGAGUUCGCGGUGUUGAUGAAGUAGGGUCAAUGUCGGCUCAUAAUCGACUUUAAAGAUGGCAUGAAGAUGAUUGCCCCUAGAAAAGCCCCACGCAGCCAAAGGACUAAUCUGUAGGAGAUCCUCUCUUGAUCAGGCAGGUCACCUCUGGGCUCUGAUGUAUCACCAGACUACCACAGAACCAUGUUCAGCACAAGGUACACACCCUUUCUGGAUGAUUUAUCUGCUACUGAAAGGAGAUACCCAAAAUGGGUGGGACUUAUCAUGCAUUGUCCAAUCACAGUCUGGGAACCUGUAGAAUAACCAAAGAUGUGUCUGUGAUGUCUAUGAUUGGCAGCUCACAGUAACCCCGCCAUCACGAGAGCAACUAGCUUGCAAUGACUGCUCAGGGUGAUUUUGCACAGCUAGGUGGAUGCUUGCUUAAUGGUGGACCAAAAGACCUAACACACAUUUUAUCCAGAUAAUAUUUUGCUUUUUGGUGUUAGCAUGCAUUGCAGCCAACGAUAAGGUGAGUGUCAGCAUAGCAGUUAUGCUCAAAUGUGACCGUAGUUCAGAUGUAAACUCUGGAAAAUGAUCGAUGGCCCUAUCUAUUAACUGCUAAGUGGUGUGAUGGGUAUUUGUUGUUAAUGUAAAAAAAUACGAGGGGAAGCUUAAUGGCUGUCAGUGUUUAUCUGUGAACGAGAGGGAAAUAUCUUCAUUUUAGCCAUUAGUCUCACAGUAUUCAUUUUCAUAUUUAAUUCCCAUUUGAUUUCCUUCACAUUUGCUCUUUACUUGGGGUAAAAGUGCUGUGCAGUUCCCUUCUUUUGACAGACCUGUCCCAGCUAAGAAGGAACGUUACCAGAAAAUUCAACCAACGUUGUGUGAAAGUCCUGUCAAAGUUAGCGGAAAAUGUUCUUGCUAUACUUUAAUAGAACUUUCUAUCCAUGCAUCACAUUUUAAUGAAGGUUAUGCAAAUGUCACCAACCAAUCAGAUGUCUUCUUUGUUAAAUUAUGUAACAGUUUUAGGUAUUUAAUGUCAUUAUAGCUGUGGAUGUUGCGGGGAUAUGCCUUGUAUAACACACAUGAUCAUAAACAACUGGAAAUUAAACCAUGACAGAAAUGAAGGUAAAACGACUGGAUAAUAUACAUGUUCCUACUGUCUGUGUGUGCAGAUUAUAUAGGCAUAUCAGUGAGUACCAGCUGUCCACCCGAGGAACAGGUGCAGUCAACAUGACUGAGAACCUUAUUAUUAUUGGUAUAAUUGUUGCAAUUUUUCAGAUGCUAGCAAAAUAAAUACAGUGGAACC